CGGAUAGCUGUAAAUCAGCAUAAUUCCUGUUGUAUGUAGCAAUAGUUGUGAGUGGCUCCAGUCAUUUUAGGAGUCCUUGGAAGUAUCUGGUACACAUUUGUUGGCUGCACCUUAAAGGAAGUGGCAGGUCCAGUUUGUUCUCUCUACCACACCAGACUCCACUGACAAGUUUGGGUCCAUUGGAUUCAAAAUUUUGUGAGCCAUUUCACAAGUACAAAGUUAGAUUUUAACCUUGUCUUCUCCAAAAUUAGUAGAAUUUUUAUUUUUUAUUUUUAUCUUUUUGAGAUGGGAUAUCAUCCUGUCACCCAGACUGGAGUGCAGUGGUGGAAUCUUGGCUUAUGGCAACCUUUGCCUCCUGGGUUCAAGUGGUCCUCCCACCUCAGCCUUCUGAGUAACUGGGACCACAGGCACAUGCCACCAUACCCAGCUAAUUUUUUCUUUUUUUGAUGGGGGGUUGGGGGGGCCGGAAGGCUCGCUCUGUUCCCCAGCUGGAGUGCAGUGAUGUGAUCUUGGCUCACUGCAACCUCCUCCUCCUGGGUUCAAGUGAUUCUCCUGCCUCAGCCUCUAGACUAGCUGGGAAUACGGCAUUUUUAGUAGAGAUGGGCUUUCACCAUGUUGGCCAGACUGGUCUCGAACUCCUGACCUGGUGAUCUGCUCACCUCGGCCUCCCAAAGUGCUAGAAUUACAGGUGUGAGCCAUUGCGCUGGGCCAGUUUGUUCUUUUUUUGUAGAGAUGGGGUUUUGCCAUGUUGCCCAGGUUGGUCUCAGACUCUGGGCUCAAGCAGUCAUCCUGCCUCAGCCUCCCAAAGUGCUAGGAUUACAGGUAUGAGCCACAGCACCUCACCCAGAGUGAGUAGAAUUAAUGAGAUUUUUUUUGUGUGUGUUAGAUGAUAUUGAUUUAAGCCUUUUUUGGAAAAAAGUACUCUCAACAGAAUACAAAAUGGAAAAUUUGAGGUUUAAUAGAGAUGUGUUGGCUAUCUGCAAUGAAUUGUUCUUGCUCAAGUGUUUGGAGUUCUACUUUAUGCUUCGUGUUUAUGAAUAUGAAUGAGGUCAUUUUACUGACCUCAAAGCAGAGUUGGUGUUAUUGUCUUUAGAAUAUACCACUACUAAGUAUCAGCUUAUCUUCAGAACAUUACAACAUUCACUGUGUUCAUAUGCUGUUAUUACAAGAAGUCACCACUUGUUAUUUCAGAUUACAUAUACCUGAAGGCAUUUUACAGUUCCUAAAGAACAUGUUAGAUCUUUUUUUUCCACCCCGUGAAGGUCUCUCUUUUCCAGGCUGCAGUGCAGUGGUGUGAUUGUAGCACACUGGCCGCCAAUUCUUAGGCUCAAGUGAUCCUCCUGCCUCGGCCUCUGAGAAGCUUGGAUUACAGGUGCACACCACCACACCUGGCUAAUUUUUAAUUUUUUUUAUAUUUUAGAGAUAGGGUCUGGCUGUAUUACCUUGGGCUGUUCUUGAACUCCUGGUCUCAGGUGAUCCUCCCCGCAUGGGCCUCCCAAAGGGUUGGGAUUACAGGAGUGAGCUACCGCGCUGGGCCAACAUGUUACAUCUUUUGUUGUUGAGACAGAAUCUCACUUUUGCCCAGGCAGGAGUGCAAUGGUGCAGUUUCGGCUCACUGCAACCUUCACCUCCCAGGUUCAAGCAAUUUUCCCACUUCAACCUCCUGAGUAGCUGAGAUUACAGGCACCCACCAUCAUACACCCAGCUAAUUUUUGUAUUUUAGGCACAGUUGGGGUUUCACCAUGUUGGCCAGGUGAUCUGCAAGCCCCACCCCACCCCCACCAAAGAAAGUGCUGGGAUUACAGGCGUGAGCCACCACACCCAGCCAACAUGUUAUAUCUUAAUUCUUGGAUUUUCUUCACUGCAGGACUUUGGGUGGAGAAAUAAAACUCUCCAAAUACAUAAUCCUGGAGAUCCCUGUGAAUCAAUAAUUAUUUAGACAACUGUGGCUCGGCUCAAAAUCUCUUGUCUCCCUUUUCUGAGUUCUUCAUCCAUCUUAUUAGAAAGGAAGUGAAUGUAGGUGGUCUGUAACACUUGCACAUCUUUUAUACGUGUAGAGGGUAUGCCUGGGAUAUAUAGGUUGUCUUCAAGCAGUAGCUGCUACUACAGCUAGAGAGAGGAGGAGUGCCAGGAAAUUGAUGAACUGAGACCAAGAGUCUUGAUGUUCUGACUUAGAUAAAAUUUUUGAUCAUUUUCAUGAAAUAAUGCAGGGAAGUCAUUUCUGCUGUUUACUACUACGUUCUUGGAGGAUUAGAACAAGUGACACCGUAAUUUACUAAAAUGACUUUUUAUUUUAAAAUACUGAUGAUGGAGGUUGGGUGUGGUGGCUCAUGCCCGUAAUCCCAGCACUUUGGGAGGCCAGCACGGGCAGAUCACGAGAUCAAGAGAUCUAGACCAUCCUGGCCAAUAUGGUGAAACCCCGUCUCUACUAAAAAUUCAAAAAUCAGCUGGGUGUGGUGGUGGGCAUCUGUAGUCCCAGCUACUCAGGAGGCUGAGGCAGGAGAAUCGUUUGAACCUGGGAGGCGGAAGUUGCCAUGAGCCAAGAUCAUGCCAUUGCACUCCAGCCUGAGCAACAGAGUGAGACUCUGUCUCAAAAAAAAAUAUGAUGGGGUUUUGCUUUUAACUGUCCACACUUAACAAAUUUUCCAGUACCUAUUCCUGUGGUCCAUGAUAGUAAACAUAGAAACACAUAAGGAACAUGGUUGGAGUUGCCAGACGUUAGCUGUUGCAUAUGUGCACAUUCCUAGAUUCUAGGGUGUUUAUUUUUGCCUUAAAUUUAAGUGGGUCAUUGGUUGUCUUGGGAAGAUCAUGGAAAAUUGGGGAUUUUUUAAGAAUUCUGAACCAAAAUAACGUUUUGAAUGUUUCUUAAGAUUAUAUUUUAUGUAGUAAAUGUGUGAUUUCCACCUUCCACAUUCAGACUGCUGACCACACUUCAUAAAUGCCUUUUUAUUUCCAAUUGCUGUAGAUUCAACUAAAUGUAUCCCUUGGGAGUGGAUCAUUACUUUGCUAUCUUUUCCCCCCUUUGCUGUUGUGGUGUGUGUUUGGUUCAUAUCCGAGAAGAUGCAUUUAUUAUGUGUUGUUACCCAGCCCUGGCUUGAUGGUGUCCUGUGGGGGUAGGGGUAGGAGGACGAGGGGCACCUGCCCAGAGCAUGUGAAUAGAACACGGUUGGCCAGCGGUGACCCGCCACCACCGCGGGUAAGCCAAACUGCAAAGCGUUCUUUCCUCUGUGAAAUUGAAUAACACUUAAUAAAAUCCAUAAUUAGCACAUACUAGACAAAAUGUUACGUAUCUUUUUGUGGGGUGACAGCAUUGGGCUUCAUUCUGGCUGUACAGCUUUGAUUGGAUUAUUAAACAGGAAGGUCACUUUUUGGGGUGUGGAGUAAACACGGUUGAAUUUGUGGAUUCACUUGUCACCCUUCCAAUAUCAACACAUUUCUCACGCCUCCGCACCGGCCACAUGUCAGCCAUUAGCAUUGGGCAGGAGGAACUUUUAAGUGUCCCCGGCAGUCCCUAAGAGGGCCUUUGAGUUUGAGCCUGUCGCCGUCUUCCCCGAGAGCCGUUGGGGCAGCUCCUAGCAACAUGCUCGCCGCCGGCCGAGGCCUCGUCCAGCCAACGUUCUCGCGGGGCUCCCUGGGAGUUGUAGUUCCCCACGGCGUCCCCGCCUCCUCGGUGCGGAAGGGAAACCGGACCCCCGACUACAACUCCCAGGAUGGCUUGGGUCCGCCUUUCCGCGGGAGGCCGCCUGGCUGAGGGUGGCUGCAGCGGCCGGAAGCCGGAGGCCUAGUUUGUCUGGGCUGGGCGAUCUGAAUAGAGCCGGUGCUGGUCCCAGCGGCCGCGCCUCCUGGGGCACGGCGCGUAACGGGAGACUCCGAGGCUGGGAGCUUUACAGGCUGCUCUUGGGGGCCAGAUAGGCCGAGCACUCAGAAGGGAAGCAUGAGCCUGAUUUGGGUAGAAUCCAGAUGAGCUGGCCAGUACUGUAAAGGAGCUUCAAUCAACCCUGAGAGCCUUGAGAUGGUGCCAAAAACCAAGAAGGGAUGGAAAGGCUCCAUUGAUGAUUUACUCGAUGACCUUCUAGGGGAUGAUAUGACACUACCUGAGAAGCCUGUUAAAGUAGCUUCACGUGCCAGAGACACCACAGGUGUAUCUCAGAUGUCCCCUUCUUCAAAGGCUAGAACAAAGUCCUUCUUGGGAGAUGGUGUCUUCAGCCCCGGGGCAGGCCUGGAAGAAGCUGAUGCUGAAGUUUCAGGUGUCUCAGAGGCAGACCCACAGGCUCUGCUCCAGGCCAUGAAGGACCUGGAUGGCAUGGAUGCUGAUAUCUUAGGUCUGAAGAUGUCUAAUCCAGCCCCUAGCAAAAAAGCUGCAAAGGACCCUGGGAAAGGAGAGCUGCCCAACCACCCCAAGCCUGCGGGGGGUGCCAUUCCCAUCAAGCAGUCACCUCCAUCUCCCAGCAGCUCUGGGCAUCAAAACAGAAGGUUUUCCUCUGAAGACUUGGAGGACCCAUUGGCAGGACUUCUCUCCUAUGAUGAAGGAGGAAUCACUAAGAAGCCACCUGUGACAGAGAGCAAAAUAGCUUCUGACAAGAGCCCCGGCACAGUUAGAGAUCAAGGUCCCUCUAUUCCUCUAACUCCUGGUGACACCCCCAUCCGAAAAAAAGAAGAAUUGUUUGAUGAUGGAGAUGACAUCAUGGCCACCUUGGGAUUUGGAGACAGCCCAAAAGCAGAGAAGAGGCAGAUGGGAAACCAGGAAGGGCCUCGCCCUGCUCGCUCCACGCUGGAUGAGCUGCUGGGUCGAGGCACGGCAACCAAACUCCUGACCCGCCCAGGCACAGGGGAGCGCAGGGAGUUCAAGCUAGAUAAGAAGUACCAGAGGCCACAGGACAGCGAAGAUGCAUGGGGUGACGAGGACUUCACCUUCGGAGCCUAUCAGCCCACUAUGGGCUCUUCUGAGGGCCGGCAUUCCCGCCGGCAGUCUGUCAGUAGGUUCUUAGCAGACAGUGGCCCAGACCUCAAGGGAGAACCAGGCUCCAGACAGAGCCCUCCAGCCACUUCCAGCCCCAUCCAGCCCAGGAAGGGAGGAGCUGACUGGCUGGGCCUCAAGGACGAUGACUUGGACCUGCUCCCUGCCUCACCCACCAGAGAGGCAUGUCGGGAAAGCUCAGCACUUGCCAUGCCCUUAGUGCCUCCUCCUGAGAGCAAGCACUCUGCACCAGCUGGGCUGCCCCUCUCCAAGGCAAAGCCACCAACCGAAGGUGCAGGGUCCCCUGCCAAAGCCAGCCAGGAUUCCAAGCUGCAAGCCUCCGAGAAGGAGGAAGAAGACUGGCUGAGCCAUGCCCUGUCUCGGAAGAAGUCCCAAGGCCUGGCCAGAGAGCAGGGUGCUGGGGCCUCUGAGGGCCUGAGUUUUGCAGGGACAGUGGGCCAUCCCCCUUCUGACAGGCUGCCUUUUCUCAGCCAACCUCUCACCAGCAUGCCAGGACUUGAGCAGGCAGCUGCUGGAGGAAGCUCUGGAACAACCGCCGGAGAAAGACCGUGUGCCAGGCCUGGCGUCUCGGGGUCCCCUGUGACUCAGAAACAUGCUGCCUCGGCACUCCCUGCAGGCUCCCCAAAGCGGGGAGCAGCCCCUGGAGACAUCUCGGCCACGGAGCCUGCCAUGUGUUUCCCGAGCACCCAGGAGCCCACAGAGCCUUCUGUGCCCGUCCAGCCCCUGCUCCCAGAGUCCCUGGCCCUGAGCCUGCUGCCAGGCACAGAAUACCAGAAGCAGCUCCUGGCAGCACAGGUGAAGCUUCAGAGCAGCACCGCAGAGCUCCAGGCUGCGCUGCUGCAGAGCCAAGCCCGGCUGGCAGAGCUGGAGGCCCAGGUGCGGAAGCUGGAGCUGGAACGGGCCCAGCGUGAGCUGCUGCUGGGGAGUCUGCAGCAGCAAAACCAGGCAGACCUGGAGCUCAUCGAGAAUGCACACAGAAGCCACAUCAAGGUGCUAGAAAUAUCGUACCAGCAGCGGGAGGAGCGUCUCCGGAGAGAGAACGAGGAGCUGUCAGCUCGGUAUCUGUCGCACUGCCAGGAGGCCGAGCAGGCCCGUGCUGAGCUCACCGCCCAGUACCAGCGGCGCUUGGCAGCUGCAGCACAGGAGAAGGACCAGGAAAUGGAGCGGCUCCGGGAGCUGCAGCGGGCAUCCAUCCUGGAGAUGCGCAGAGACCACGAGGAGCAGCUGCAGCGGCUGAAGCUGCUGAAAGACCGAGAGGUCGAUGCGGCCACCAGCACCACCUCCCACACAUGGUCCCUGAAUAGCAUCAUCCACCAGAUGGAGAAGUUCUCCAGCAGCCUGCAGGAGCUGUCCUACCGCAUGGAGGCCUCACAUCUCACCAACUCCCAGGAGCGGGAGCUGGGGAUCCGGCAGCGGGACGAGCAGCUGCGGGCACUGCAGGAGCGGCUGGGCCAGCAGCAGCGGGACAUGGAGGAGGAGCGGAGCUGGCAGCAGGAGGUCAUCGGGAAGAUGGAGGCGCGGCUGAGUGAGCAGAGCCAGCUGCUGGAGCAGGAACGCUGGUGGAUGACUGCCGAGCAGUCCAAGGUGGAGUCCAUGCAGCGCGCCCUAGAGGAGCAAAGGAAGAUCACAGCGCAGCAGAUGGCCAUGGAGAGGGCGGAGCUGGAACGGGCCAAGAGUGCCUUGCUGGAGGAGCAGAAGUCUGUCCUGCUCAAGUGUGGGGAGGAGCGGCGGCGCCUGGUGGCUGAGUGGGCGGAGUUCUCUGUGCAGCAAAAACUGAGAGCAGGCCGAACUGAAGAUCAGGGCCAGCGAGCUCCAGGCCGAGGAGAAGCAGUUGGCGGCUGAGAGAGCAGCCCUGGAGCAGGAGCGGCAGGAGCUGCAGCUGGAGAAGGAAAGGCUCAGCGCCACCGCCCUGCGUGUUAAACUCCGUGCCGAGGAGGUGGAGAGCAUGAGCAAGGUGGCCUCCGAAAAGUACGAGGAGGGGGAGCGGGCACUGCGUGAGGCCCGGCAGGUGCAGGCCGGGCAGCAGGCCCGGCUGCAGGCAGUGCAGCAACAGCAGGAGCGGCUACGGAAGCAGGAGCAACAUAUACACCAG